rnacentral:rRNA from 1 species
AAUGAACGCUGGCGGCAUGCCUAACACAUGCAAGUCGAACGAGACCUUCGGGUCUAGUGGCGCACGGGUGCGUAACGCGUGGGAAUCUGCCCUUGGGUUCGGAAUAACUCGCCGAAAGGCGUGCUAAUACCGGAUGAUGACGUAAGUCCAAAGAUUUAUCGCCCAAGGAUGAGCCCGCGUAGGAUUAGCUAGUUGGUGGGGUAAAGGCCCACCAAGGCGACGAUCCUUAGCUGGUCUGAGAGGAUGAUCAGCCACACUGGGACUGAGACACGGGCCAGACUCCUACGGGAGGCAGCAGUGGGGAAUAUUGGACAAUGGGCGAAAGCCUGAUCCAGCAAUGCCGCGUGAGUGAUGAAGGCCUUAGGGUUGUAAAGCUCUUUUACCCGGGAUGAUAAUGACAGUACCGGGAGAAUAAGCCCCGGCUAACUCCGUGCCAGCAGCCGCGGUAA